UUGGUGUGAAUUGCAGAAUCCCGCGAACCAUCGAGUCUUUGAACGCAAGUUGCGCCCGAAGCCAUCAGGCUGAGGGCACGUCUGCCUGGGCGUCACGC
rnacentral:rRNA from 1 species